UUGCUCUAGUUAAGGUAAUAAUAAUUCCCAAGAAUAAUUAUAAAAUAAUCAUUCCAUAGAAGAAAAGAAGAAAUUUAUAACUACCAACUGAUUUUGUGUCAUCUUUCCGUUUCUUUUUGGUUGCGAUAUACAAAAAAAAGUAACGACAUGAAGAAUUGACUCACGCCAACCAACAAAUUUUAUGCCUUUUCUUCUUGUUUGAAAGAUUGUAAAGUACAAUAAAGGAAAGCUCUAUCCAGCUGCUUCAUACCCAUUACUUUGUGUAAUCAUAAAUAUUACCUAGUUUGUUAUAAAGAAUAAAUGUUUAUCGUUUUCAACCCAUCAACAUGUGGUCAUUAGAUUAACUUUACAGGGUCAAGAAAUGGUUGCAGAAUUCAAUUAAUGACAGAUCGAUCAUCAGAACAUCAAAAAUAGUCAUUUUAAUGAGGACUAUAAAUGCCCUUGAGACGACACCAUCGUGGGAGCUUUACAAACACACACCUACAAACUACUCAAUAUAUAUCUAGUAAAAGUGUUUUCGUGAGUCAAAAUAUACAAGCAUAAUAUAUUGAGGAAAAUCAUUCAAUAACUUGAUAAUCCUGCAAGAGAUAUGAAAACUGGUAAAACCACUUUUUGACGAGCAUUAGGAAAUCCCAAGUUACACGACCCAAAUACCAAUGCCAUAAGUGUCAAUAGGAUGAGAUGAGCAAGGCCAUAGUGGAGAAGACCUUAAAGAUCCGAUUGAAAGGCAUCGAUAAAAGA
rnacentral:lncRNA from 1 species